CAGCCGCGGUAAUUCCAGCUCCAAUAGCGUAUAUUAAAGUUGUUGCAGUUAAAAAGCUCGUAGUUGAAUUUCGGGAUUAGUAGUCUGGUCGUGCCACUGGUAUGUACUGGUCUUACUGAUUUCUCCUUCCUGAAGAACUGUAAUGUCAUUAAUUUGGUGUUGCGGGGAAUCUGGACUGUUACUUUGAAAAAAUUAGAGUGUUUAAAGCAGGCUAACGCUUGAAUACAUUAGCAUGGAAUAAUGAAAUAGGACGAUCGAUCCUAUUUUUGUUGGUUUCUAGGAUUGACGUAAUGAUUAAUAGGGAUAGUUGGGGGCAUUAGUAUUCAAUUGUCAGAGGUGAAAUUCUUGGAUUUAUUGAAGACUAACUACUGCGAAAGCAUUUUGCCAAGGAUGUUUCAUUAAUCAAGAACGAAAGUUAGGGGAUCGAAGACGAUCAGAUACCGUCGUAGUCUUAACCAUAAACUAUGCCGACUAGGGAUCGGAUGAUGUUAAUUUUAUAAUGACUCAUUCGGCGCCUUACGGGAAAC
rnacentral:rRNA from 1 species